rnacentral:rRNA from 1 species
GACGAACGCUGGCGGCGUGCUUAACACAUGCAAGUCGAACGGAAAGGCCCUGCUUUUGUGGGGUGCUCGAGUGGCGAACGGGUGAGUAACACGUGAGUAACCUGCCCUUGACUUUGGGAUAACUUCAGGAAACUGGGGCUAAUACCGGAUAGGAGCUCCUGCUGCAUGGUGGGGGUUGGAAAGUUUCGGCGGUUGGGGAUGGACUCGCGGCUUAUCAGCUUGUUGGUGGGGUAGUGGCUUACCAAGGCUUUGACGGGUAGCCGGCCUGAGAGGGUGACCGGCCACAUUGGGACUGAGAUACGGCCCAGACUACUACGGGAGGCAGCAGUGGGGAAUAUUGCACAAUGGGCGGAAGCCUGAUGCAGCAACGCCGCGUGCGGGAUGACGGCAUGCGGGUUGUAAACCGCUUUCGCCUGUGACGAAGCGUGAGUGACGGUAAUGGGUAAAGAAGCACCGGCUAACUACGUG